CUGAAAUAACACAUGAAAGAACUUAGCACAGUGCCUAGCAGGCAGUAAGUACUCAGGAAAUGUCAGCUGCUGUCAAACUUUCUAGGAACAGAAAAGCAGAGCUGUAUCUAAUAUAGCUUAAACUGGUAUGCUCUGCAGGACAGGGAGGAGUCUCAUUUUGCAUCAAGAGCUUUCCAUGGGUCAUGUUAUUUCACCCUGCACGAUGCUGUGUGGUCUCAUCACCACUGAACACACAAGACCCUGAGACUCUGAGAGGUAGACACUGCACUCUACAGCUGCGAUUCACACCUGGAUCUGCUGGCUCAAGGUCUGCACUCUUUCCACUGCACCACAGUAACCCACAUGAAUCAGCAAUGAAAAGGCAAGACGGAGUAAGCUUCAAGCACUGAUGACCAUCUGUUUUAGCCCGAGUUGCCUAUGAAACAGAGCGUUAUGCAGAAGCUGAAGUACUAAUGCCUUGUUAGAGGAUGCAAGCCCAGGGAAGCAAGAGUGAGAGGUCCUGGGGACUUUUUCUUCUUAUGUCUGUACCUCAUCAGUUAAUUCUGGCUCCAUACAGAAUGCAAAAAUAUCUACUCGCUGCUCUAGGAUCCCCUACUGUUAAUCAUAGAAAGCCAAUUGCCGGGUAUGAACUUGCAGAAAGCACAAUCUUUAGGAACUGAGUGCUCCUUAAUGCCUUUUCACAGAAGGAAUUAUUUCCCUCCAGUUGUCCCUGUGGUUUGUUUGCCAUGGUGUCCUCACCUAAGCAUUUGAGGAAUAAAACAAAAGUGAAUGAAAAUG
rnacentral:lncRNA from 1 species